UUGAUAUGCCAUGUAUAUAUAAUUAAUAAUAUUAAACAGUUUUCAUUUGAUAUAAACUUCAGAAACCGAAGAAAACUUUAUAACGGAUUUCAUUAUUAAACUAACAAAUAAGAUGGAAAAGUCAGUAUGUCAUUGCACAUAAUCACUCAAGAAGAAUAUAAAGAAAGAGAAGCUUGCCAAGAAUGAAACCAGUUUGUUCGUUCAUGUUAACUUUAGCUGUUGUCAGCUUUGUGAUUUCACAAGGAGUUUUAACACAAGAAUUAUUUCAAAAUAUACUAGAGCUAGAAAGACGUUUAAUAUCAGAAGCAUUAUUUAGAAGUGACAAAACAUAUGCAAACCAUGGAAGAUUUCAUACAAGUAAACGGAUUUGUCGACUUCUUUGUGACCUCUGUACAGAACAAAGUCGAAGACUCGGAACUUUAUGUGUCCAUCAGUGCCACAGACCAAACAGAAUUGA